GACGUAGGGCGCGAGCGUUGUCCGGAAUUAUUGGGCGUAAAGAGCUCGUAGGCGGUGUGUCACGUCGGCCGUGAAAACCUGCAGCUUAACUGUGGGCGUGCGGUCGAUACGGGCAUCACUGGAGUUCGGCAGGGGAGACUGGAAUUCCUGGUGUAGCGGUGAAAUGCGCAGAUAUCAGGAGGAACACCGGUGGCGAAGGCGGGUCUCUGGGCCGAUACUGACGCUGAGGAGCGAAAGCGUGGGGAGCGAACAGG
rnacentral:rRNA from 1 species